GUUCUUGCUUCUGCACAUAUAUUAAAUUUGGAAUGAUACAGAGAAGAUUAGUAUGGCCCUAUGCAAGGAUGACAUGCAAAUUUGAGAAUCCAUAUAUAUAUAU
ensembl:snRNA U6 U6 spliceosomal RNA